UGCAAGUAGGACGCACAGUCUAUACCGUAGCUUGCUACACCAUAGGCUGUGAGUUGCGAACGGGUGAGUAACGCGUAGGUAACCUGCCUAUUAGAGGGGGAUAACUAUUGGAAACGAUAGCUAAUACCGCAUAACAGUAUGUAACACAUGUUAGAUGCUUGAAAGAUGCAAUUGCAUCGCUAGUAGAUGGACCUGCGUUGUAUUAGCUAGUAGGUAGGGUAAUGGCCUACCUAGGCAACGAUACAUAGCCGACCUGAGAGGGUGAUCGGCCACACUGGGACUGAGACACGGCCCAGACUCCUACGGGAGGCAGCAGUAGGGAAUCUUCGGCAAUGGGGGGAACCCUGACCGAGCAACGCCGCGUGAGUGAAGAAGGUUUUCGGAUCGUAAAGCUCUGUUGUUAAGGAAGAACGAGUGUGAGAAUGGAAAGUUCAUACUGUGACGGUACUUAACCAGAAAGGGACGGCUAACUACGUGCCAGCAGCCGCGGUAAUACGUAGGUCCCGAGCGUUGUCCGGAUUUAUUGGGCGUAAAGCGAGCGCAGGCGGUUAGAAAAGUCUGAAGUGAAAGGCAGUGGCUCAACCAUUGUAGGCUUUGGAAACUGUUUAACUUGAGUGCAGAAGGGGAGAGUGGAAUUCCAUGUGUAGCGGUGAAAUGCGUAGAUAUAUGGAGGAACACCGGUGGCGAAAGCGGCUCUCUGGUCUGUAACUGACGCUGAGGCUCGAAAGCGUGGGGAGCGAACAGGAUUAGAUACCCUGGUAGUCCACGCCGUAAACGAUGAGUGCUAGGUGUUAGGUCCUUUCCGGG
rnacentral:rRNA from 1 species